AAGACGGAGAUUUCUAGAGUAAGACUGAUACCUGGACAUCCAUGAACAGUUUAAAGAGGUGGCUAAACAGGGUGAUCCUUGGAUUCCACCAUGCCAUGGAUGUGUAAUGUUCCUGGUAUUCAUGAAAACAAGUUACCAGGUUCAGUGAGCUGAAACUCCCCAGAGAAGGGAGGAGAGUCAAGCAGGGGACUCUGGCAGGGGGACCCUUUCUUCCUGUUCCCGGACAUGCCAGGGAAGGCGGUGAACCACACGCUCAGCUUGUUUUUCUGGAAACAGCAGGCCCAGAGAAAGGCACGGCGUGGCAGCAUCUCUCCGGGAGGGCUGCAGCUUACAAGAUUCCAGUAUUCUAAUGCCAACCUGGCAGGCGAGAUGUAGGGACGAGGGCUGUCGGAACAGGGCUAAGCCGGAAGAGUGCUGGUCUACUUCCUCUCCUGCUUUGCAUCAGUGGCAAUGAUUCUGAGAGCUUAUUAUGAGUCCUGAAAGUGAUCCUGUGGUUUUUUUCUCCUUUAAUCUACUAAUCUGCGUGACUGACACUGAUGAUACAUAACCAUCCUUGGUUAUGGGCUCAACGCUACCCAGUCUGCUUAAUACAGGAAACCAAAAAGAACGGCCAGGUAAUUUUUGCCUCUUAUGCCCUGAAAGAACAACCAAGUCUGUGAAUCUCAGAGAUGCAAGCUCCCCUUGAUCCUAGGGAGAAUGGGGGCUUUUGGGUCAGGAAACAGCUUUACUGAGGCUGGUGAGCCUGAGAGUAACUCCCGUGGGGAGGCAAGAUCCUGGAGGUGUGGGUUCCUGUACCUACAGAGCACGGAAGGUGGCAUGACCUUUGUUGGUAAAGUCCAUGAGGCCAGGACUCCAGGAACAGUGCCGUAGGCUCCUUUCUACUCUGUCUUCCAUCCUCAACACUGACCCAUGCUGUGACUCAUCGACGCAGAGAUCCCCUGUUCUACGCAGCAGCCAUGAGGCACAUGUGUCUAUUGAGCGCCUGGAAAGUGGCCGCAUCAACUCCAGAUGUGCUAUGAGUGUAAAGCGCAUGCUGAAUUUCAGAAAACUUAGUAUAAAAUAAGUAAUAUUAAUUAUCUCACUAAUAAUUUUCC